rnacentral:lncRNA from 1 species
UAGCUGCACUGGGGAGGUAGUACUAUCUAUAAGGAUGUGCUUGUUGCUUCCAGCGGUCCACAAAACACUACUGUGUCCACGUUCUCAGAUCAAGAGCCCUCCUUGUCCACAGAGGUCAUAGGAUGCAACCGUGGUUUAGAUAGUCCUUAUCUGAAAAUAGUGCAUCAGACAGUCAGGUCAGUUGUUGCUAUAGCAACCUGUGGGUCUCUGAGGCUCUGGCAUGUGUCCUCUGUCAGUGGAUCUGCACGCAAUCUUGCAGAAGAUGGAGAUACUAAGCGGAGAGGAGUCCAACGUUAUCACCACAGACGUGAAGAUUCAUUACUUUUGCCACUUUCAAAACUCUCUAGCACUGAGGAUUUAAACCCAGAACCUUACUUAGCACAUGCUACAGAAGAGCUCUACCACUGAGCUACACGAUUAAUUCCAGUAACUUCAUCUAUAAAGGGUCAUGCCGUCAUCUAUGUUGAGAACAGGCUUCAGAGUCAAGCCUGCUUAGAGAGAACCAAAGCAGGAGGGAGUGGCUUCUGAGAUCAGGGCAGUGAUGAGACACAGCUGAUCCCCAAGUGAUGGAAGGAGGCAAGAGGAAUCUCCUGGUUUCUAUUUUUAUUUUUUAAUUU